UUCCCGUGAAGAGGCGGGAAUGCACAAAUAAGACGAGAAGACCCUAUGGAGCUUUAACUAACCAACCCAAAGAGAAUAAAUUUAACCAUUAAGGAAUAACAACAAUCUCCAUGAGUUGGUAGUUUCGGUUGGGGUGACCUCGGAGAAUAAAAAAUCCUCCGAGCGAUUUUAAAGACUAGACCCACAAGUCAAAUCACUCUAUCGCUCAUUGAUCCAAAAACUUGAUCAACGGAACAAGUUACCCUA
rnacentral:rRNA from 1 species